rnacentral:rRNA from 1 species
CACGUAGGGGACGAGCGUUGUCCGGAUUCAUUGGGCGUAAAGCGCGCGUAGGCGGCUCGGAAAGUCGGUCGUGAAAUGCCGGGGCUCAACCCCGGGACUGCGUCCGAUACUCCCGAGCUGGAGGCAGGUAGGGGAGAUCGGAAUUCCUGGUGUAGCGGUGAAAUGCGCAGAUAUCAGGAGGAACACCAAUGGCGAAGGCAGCUCUCUGGGACGGUACUGACGCUGAGACGCGAAAGCGUGGGGAGCGAACAGG